UGAGGAAUAUUGCGCAAUGGGCGAAAGCCUGACGCAGCGACGCCGCGUGGAGGACGAAGGUCUUCGGAUCGUAAACUCCUGUCGAGCGGGACGAAGCCGGGGCGGUGAAUAGCCGCUUCGGUUGACGGUACCGCUAAAGGAAGCCCCGGCUAACUCCGUGCCAGCAGCCGCGGUAAUACGGAGGGGGCCAGCGUUGUUCGGAAUCAUUGGGCGUAAAGGGCGCGUAGGCGGCUUGGUAAGUCCGUUGUGAAAUCCCUCGGCUCAACCGAGGAACUGCGACGGAUACUGCUUGGCUUGAGUCCCGGAGAGGGUAGCGGAAUUCCCAGUGUAGCGGUGAAAUGCGUAGAUAUUGGGAGGACAUCGGUGGCGAAGGCGGCUACCUGGACGGGUACUGACGCUGAGGCGCGAAAGCUAGGGGAGCAAACAGGAUUAGAUACCCUGGUAGUCCUAGCUGUAACGAUGGGCACUUGGUGUUGCGGGUAUCGACCCCUGCAGUG
rnacentral:rRNA from 1 species